AGGGCACCACCAGGAGUGGAGCCUGCGGCUUAAUUUGACUCAACACGGGAAAACUCACCCGGCCCGGACACCGUAAGGAUUGACAGAUUGAUAGCUCUUUCUUAAUUCGGUGGGUGGUGGUGCAUGGCCGUUCUUAGUUGGUGGAGCGAUUUGUCUGGUUAAUUCCGAUAACGAACGAGACUCUGGCCUAUUAAAUAGACGAUGUAUUUUCUAGUAUAUCGUUCUUCUUAGAGGGACAAGCGGCGUCUAGCCGCAUGAAAUAGAGCAAUAACAGGUCUGUGAUGCCCUUAGAUGUCCGGGGCUGCACGCGCGCUACACUGAAAGAAUCAGAGUGCGUUUCGCCUAGUUCGGAAGAACCGGGUAACCCAAGUAAAUUCUUUCGUGCUUGGGAUAGGGAAUUGCAAUUAUUUCCCUUAAACGAGGAAUUCCCAGUAAAUGCGGGUCAUAAGCUCGCGUUGAUUACGUCCCUGCCCUUUGUACACACCGCCCGUCGCUACUACCGAUUGGAUGACUUAGUGA
rnacentral:rRNA from 1 species